rnacentral:rRNA from 1 species
UUACCCCCCGGGUUAAACUAGCAUAUCAAUAAGCGGAGGAAAAGAAACCAACAGGGAUUGCCUCAGUAACGGCGAGUGAAGCGGCAACAGCUCAAAUUUGAAAUCUGGCCUCACGGUCCGAGUUGUAAUUUGUAGAGGAUGCUUUUGGCGAGGUGCUUUCCGAGUUCCCUGGAACGGGACGCCAUAGAGGGUGAGAGCCCCGUACGGUAAGACCACCGAGCCUCUGUAAAGCUCCUUCGACGAGUCGAGUAGUUUGGGAAUGCUGCUCUAAAUGGGAGGUGUACGUCUUCUAAAGCUAAAUACCGGCCAGAGACCGAUAGCGCACAAGUAGAGUGAUCGAAAGAUGAAAAGCACUUUGAAAAGAGGGUUAAAAAGUACGUGAAAUUGUUGAAAGGGAAGCAUUCAUGACCAGACUUGGGCUUGGUUGAACAUCCGGCGUUCUCGCCGGUGCACUCUGCCAGUCCAGGCCAGCAUCAGUUUGCCCCGGGGGACAAAGGCGGUGGGAAUGUGGCUCUCUUCGGGGAGUGUUAUAGCCCGCCGUGUAAUGCCCUGGGGCGGACUGAGGAACGCGCUUCGGCACGGAUGCUGGCGUAAUGGUCAUCAAUGACCCGUCUUGAAACACGGACCAAGGAGUCGUCUUCGUAUGCGAGUGUUCGGGUGUCAAACCCCUACGCGUAAUGAAAGUGAACGUAGGUGAGAGCUUCGGCGCAUCACCGACCGAUCCUGAUGUUCUCGGAUGGAUUUGAGUAAGAGCAUACGGGGCCGGACCCGAAAGAAGGUGAACUAUGCCUGUAUAGGGUGAAGCCAGAGGAAACUCUGGUGGAGGCUCGCAGCGGUUCUGACGUGCAAAUCGAUCGUCAAAUAUGGGCAUGGGGGCGAAAGACUAAUCGAACUUAAGGGG